CCUGACCUCAAGUGAUCCGCCCGCCUCGGCCUUCCACAGUGCUGGGAUUACAGGCGUGAGCCACUGCGCCCGGCCUCGAAACACUUUUCAAGCCACGCACUCUCCUUUCCUCUUUAUGGAUGAGAAACUGAGUCAUAAAGAGGUGAAAUGGCCAGUAAAGGUCAAAGGACAACUCGUUCCUUCGGCUCAGGCUCCGGGGAUUCAGAACCUGCGGAUGUGGAGGGCCAGAGGUCUGAAUUUGCAAGUUGGGCAAUGGGGAAAGCCUUCACAAAGGAGAAAGCAUUUGGGCUGGAGUUGGGGAGGAGUAGGAGUCAACAGACAGAGAAGAGAGUAAAGGACAAGGCCAUCAUUCCAGGUUUAGGAAGCAAGUACAAAGACACAGAGAAAUGAAAAGGCUUGGCCUGUUUGGAGAAUGUCAAGCUGUCUGGGGUUGAGAGAAAGAGAUUCUAACAAGGCUUCCAUUAAAGAGGCUAUAUUUGCUGCUUGGACAUUUUCUAGCUCUUCUGAGACAACUUUUUGUUGAGUUAAGCGAAAAUGAAUGAAAAUCAGAUGGACCAUAUUUCUCUUGAAUACACACGGGCUUAAAAACGAAGGGGAAAAAGAACUUGACAGAAUGUGUCUUGGCUUUUGCCAAACCCAAAGUAUUUGAAAAAUCACACAGUACACAUCUCGAACCCAAAAACAUGCCUGGAUUCUACCACCCCUAAUUGCAGCUGCAGCCAUUUAAUAAAAUGAAUUGUGUACAAGAAAA